AACGAACGCUGGCGGCAUGCCUAACACAUACAAGUCGAACGAGACCUUCGGGUCUAGUGGCGCACGGGUGCGUAACGCGUGGGAACCUGCCCUUAGGUUCGGAAUAACUCCCCGAAAGGGGUGCUAAUACCGGAUAAUGUCUUCGGACCAAAGAUUUAUCGCCUUUGGAUGGGCCCGCGUUGGAUUAGCUAGUUGGUAGGGUAAAAGCCUACCAAGGCGACGAUCCAUAGCUGGUCUGAGAGGAUGAUCAGCCACACUGGGACUGAGACACGGCCCAGACUCCUACGGGAAGCAGCAGUGGGGAAUAUUGGACAAUGGGCGAAAGCCUGAUCCAGCAAUGCCGCGUGAGUGAUGAAGGCCUUAGGGUUGUAAAGCUCUUUUACCCGGGAUGAUAAUGACAGUACCGGGAGAAUAAGCUCCGGCUAACUCCGUG
rnacentral:rRNA from 1 species